GGCUCUGAUGAGCAAGCUGGUUUGAAUUUGUGUGAUAAAUCGAAUCCUUAAUGCAAAUAUCUUCUGUCAUUUUUUCCCAGAAAAUGAAGUACAAGUGCACCCUGUAGUUGCCUGGUUUGGAGACAGGAGGCUUCCUGCUAUGAGGCUGUGGCAUCACUGUAGAGAAUGCUCAUUCCUUGCUAAAGCCACCAAGCCUAAAAGAACUCUGGCAUGUUCUGAGAGGGGCACUAGUCCAGGCACCUUCAUCACCCAUUGCCAGAUUGCCUGCAACAUGUGCGGGAGCCACCUAGUCUGGAAGGUGAAUGAGCUGGUUUUGGGGAGAGACCCUCAGAGACGUAAGUGGCUCGUCCCCUGCAGCUCUUGCCUUUGGAUCCCUCUCAGCCUUCUGAGGUCCUGUGAGAGAAGGCUAAGAGAGGCUCUGAAGUAGAGCAAAACCAAGCAACUUUGCUUUUCCCUGAAAAGUGAAUGAAGCAGCUUGGAGGAGGUGUUUCAUUCAAAGGUUCAUCAAAGCAAAGUCUUCCUUUGAAGCUUUAUACAAUCCAAACAUGCAGGUGGGUAAAAAUACCUAAUAUCUACAUACAGUGCUUCUAAAUCUCAUUGGGUUCAGUGAGAGUGUUUUAAAUAUAUGUUUAACUUCCACCGAAAUACGUGAAACCUAAAUGUAAUUAAUUAAAUUGUGUCUUUCCGUUAUACAUUUUUAAAAGAAUCUUAAAAAAAGGGAUGUAAAUGAAUUCCUGAAAUGAAGCUCUGAGUAGUUUUGGAGUUUUGCCAUCCCAGGAAUCCAUGGUGAGAUGAAUGCUACCCAUAAGCUGAAUCCAUUUAUUGUUGUUGUUGUUGUUGUUUUACUUCCCUUAAAAGCAACAAUGUUGUCACAUGGACAUUCAAGAAAGCAUGGAGAAGUGAAGAAGUACCUCCAUGAAAGGCUGGGCACUUCUGUAAGAGUCCAGGCUUUUGGAAACUUCUACAGAUCUGGGAGACACCCUUCAUCUGCCUUGUACAUGGUUGAAAAAUAAAUACAUUGUCCAUCA